rnacentral:rRNA from 1 species
GGGGAUGUUGGAAGUUGCCGGAUGCUAGCCAAUGGGCUCAUGUGAAGAGCAUUAGAUGAUCCGCUUUGAAGUCUACUCGUGUGAGUGACUAUCUAUGCCAUGAUGUGCUGGUUGGGGACGUCUGCUGUGGAGGUGUCUGUUAUUCACCAUGAGAUGAACUUGACCUCAAAUCAGGUAGGACUACCCGCUGAACUUAAGCAUAUCAAUAAGCGGAGGAAAAGAAACUAACAAGGAUUCCCUUAGUAACUGCGAGUGAAGAGGGAAAAGCUCAAAUUUAAAAUCUGGCAGUCAUUUGGCCGUUCGAGUUGUAACCUAGAGAAGUGUCAUCCCGUGCUGGACCGUGCAUCAAGUCUCCUGGAAUGGAGCAUCACAGAGGGUGAGAAUCCCGUCUUUGACACGGACGAUUCAGUGCAUUGGGGAUGCGCUCUCGAAGAGUCGAGUUGUUUGGGAAUGCAGCUCUAAAUGGGUGGUGAACUCCAUCUAAAGCUAAAUAUUGGCGAGAGACCGAUAGCGACACAAGUACCGUGAGGGAAAGAUGAAAAGCACUUGGAAAGAGAG